AGAGAGAGAGAGAAGGACAGAAUGAAGGAAGGACGGUGGGCUUUUUUGGGGGGCCCCCUUUCGGUCUUCUCUGCUUCACUGUAAGCUUUCGGGCAACACUCAACUGGGUUUCGAUCGCAGCCUGCAGAGACUCCAAGCGGAGUCGGAGAAAUUUGGCCUCGUUUUAAUAGGGCUGGGGAAUGAGCUCCGGAGGUCAAUAAAGCCCUCCAAAAAUGAUGAAUGAUUGAGCACCUGUGAUGAUGAUAGUGAUUACCAGAGCAAUUAAACAGUUUGAUUAAAUGAGCCAUCAUAACAAUGAUGUCUGCGGGAAAUCGGCCCUCACAUAUAAAGAUAGUGUGGAGGGGCUGGCAAAGGCGAGGGGAGUGCGACGCCGGGGAGCGGGGCUGCGGACGGCGAGGUAUUUGCCGGGGUGGCCGGAGCUGGGACUGCUGGGCGCGCGGAGCCUCGGGGAGGAGAAUCUAGCCGAAAUUUUCAGCCACUCUGGUGUGGGGCUUCAAGCCUGCAAGAUCCGAAGGAUGGGAAACCUGCAGGUAGGGGGGAGGGUCCUUCCCCCUCCACCUCCUCAUUUUGAUCUCCCUAGAAGAACUCCAAGAUUAAAAGCAUCCUUCUUAUUUGUUGCUGAGUUGCUCCUCCACGUAUAAGAAAAGGAUUCCCUGCAAGUCUGAUAGGAGAGACAGGGCCACUUCUGGACUAGCUCUAAGGAUGUGUUCUCGUUUCCGUAACACUGAGGCACCUUUUAGAAACUUUUAAAUGCAUUUAAAUAAAUGUAUUUGGACAUUAUGAGAAGCUACACAUACAAAGACAGCUUGGCUCUAUGCCGUCAAUCCCAGCAUUAGAAGAAAAAAAAAAAAGAAAAAAAAGUCCAUAAUUCAACUAAAAUUUUCCAAACCCAUCUUUGCCUUAAAAAAAAAAAAAAGGAGAAGAAAGUUUCCUGCGUGCAUCUGUAUGUCUUCGUGUGCACGUUUAUAAACAUCUCCCAGUCCGUGUUUGUGUGUUACCUCUCUCCUGCCACAAACUCGAAGGCAGAGGCAUCGAGGGAUCGCCCCCAGAGAGCUGUGUUUAUUUAGGUUUUUUUAAUCUCUCCGCCGUGUAUGACAAGUGUUACUUCAAGAAAUUCAUCAGCCUUCUACAGAUACUUCCAGUUUUGCUGUAAUGAUCUGCAGAAGAGAACUGCCAUCACUUUCUCACAUCCCAAGGUGUUGCAGGAACUCCGAGAAAGGGGAGAGUGGCUGAAACGCUUAAUUACGGUGGGGGAGGGAGGGCCCCGAGGCGCACCGAGAGGGGAGAGCGAGCAAGGUCCUUUACCUGGCCUGUACCUGGAGAAAGCUCUGAAUCCUCUCGGCGAAUAAUUGGGAAAGGUAUGGUUGCCUUUUUUUCCCCUUCUUUUUAAUGCCUUUGGGGAGAAGUGACACCCUUGUGUAACAAUUAGCUCAGACAAUAAAAAUAAUUGGAAAAUCA